rnacentral:rRNA from 1 species
AUUGAACGCUGGCGGCAUGCCUUACACAUGCAAGUCGAACGGCAGCACGGGUGCUUGCACCUGGUGGCGAGUGGCGAACGGGUGAGUAAUGCAUCGGAACGUACCCGGAAGUGGGGGAUAACGUAGCGAAAGUUACGCUAAUACCGCAUAUUCGGUGAGCAGGAAAGAGGGGGAUCGCAAGACCUCUCGCUUUCGGAGCGGCCGAUGUCGGAUUAGCUAGUUGGCGGGGUAAAGGCCCACCAAGGCAACGAUCCGUAGCGGGUCUGAGAGGAUGAUCCGCCACACUGGGACUGGGACACGGCCCAGACUCCUACGGGAGGCAGCAGUGGGGAAUUUUGGACAAUGGGGGCAACCCUGAUCCAGCCAUGCCGCGUGAGUGAAGAAGGCCUUCGGGUUGUAAAGCUCUUUCGGCUGGGAAGAAAUCGCAUCUCCUAAUACGGGGUGUGGAUGACGGUACCAGCGUAAGAAGCACCGGCUAACUACGUGCCAGCCGCCGCAGUAA